GGCCGGUUAGCUCAGUCAGUUAGACCGUGGUGCUGAUAACACCAAGGUUGUGGGUUCGAUCCCCAUUUGGUCCC
rnacentral:tRNA from 1 species